rnacentral:rRNA from 1 species
UGGGGAAUUUUGGACAAUGGGCGAAAGCCUGAUCCAGCAAUGCCGCGUGUGUGAAGAAGGCCUUCGGGUUGUAAAGCACUUUUGUCCGGAAAGAAAUCCUUGGCUCUAAUACAGUCGGGGGAUGACGGUACCGGAAGAAUAAGCACCGGCUAACUACGUGCCAGCAGCCGCGGUAAUACGUAGGGUGCAAGCGUUAAUCGGAAUUACUGGGCGUAAAGCGUGCGCAGGCGGUUUGCUAAGACCGAUGUGAAAUCCCCGGGCUAACCUGGGAACUGCAUUGGUGACUGGCAGGCUAGAGUAUGGCAGAGGGGGGUAGAAUUCCACGUGUAGCAGUGAAAUGCGUAGAGAUGUGGAGGAAUACCGAUGGCGAAGGCAGCCCCCUGGGCCAAUACUGACGCUCAUGCACGAAAGCGUGGGGAGCAAACAGGAUUAGAUACCCUGGUAGUCCACGCCCUAAACGAUGUCAACUAGUUGUUGGGGAUUCAUUUCCUUAGUAACGUAGCUAACGCGUGAAGUUGACCGCCUGGGGAGUACGGUCGCAAGAUU